UGGGCCGGGGGUUCCGGGAGGAGGCCCACGUUGGGGCCAGGUGGUCACCUGCCGCCACCGACGCCCGGCGUCGGAGAAGUGACUUCAGGGACUGGAGUCGGCGUUGUGUGGAAAGUAGGGCUUCGGCCGGCCGCGUCCUCGGCCCGGGGCGGCCGCGUCUCCGCAGUGAUCUCGGGAGCCACACCACGAGGGGAAGGAGCCCCUCUGCCUGUGCACUGCUGUGUCCUCCGGACUUGGGACUCGGAUCCUUGAAUUGACUCGAGCGUCCUCCUUCCCUGUCUCCCUCCCUCAUCAUCUCCCACGUGCUUAUCUUGUCCUUUCCACUGUCCCUUUCCUGCGAAGCCUCCCUGUCUCCAGUGCGGUCAGGUGCAUCGCUCCGGCCGUCGGUCCUGCGGAGCAGCCGGUCUAGGGCGUGUGUUUCCCCGGGUGGUGUCUGAGGCUCCCAAGCCGCCCAGAAACUCGAGAUUCUAGUUUUCCCAAAGCAGAACUUUUCACCUUUCGUAUGUGGGCACCUCUUCCGGACCUCCACCGAUAACCGUCUACGCGGGUCUGCACGCUACCUCCCGCAGUUCUUUUCCUCCCUCCUUUUUGACUUCCGGUGAAGUUGAGUUUUUCUUGAGGUAGUGCUCUUGCUCAGAGGCCACAUGCUUACCUCUGAAUUUCUCUCCGACUUUAUUUCCUUCCGUACUAGUCAACCGAUAGGACAGUUUAUCCUUCCUCGUGUUCCCAACGUUUUGGGUUGCCGAGGAGCCCAAGUAGAAGAAAUAUGGAGCUUAGAGCCUGAGAGUUUUGAAAAGCUAAAGCCAGUUCAUGGGUUAAUUUUUCUUUUCAAGUGGCAGCCAGGAGAAGAACCUGCUGGCUCUGUGGUUCAGGACUCCAGACUUGAAACAAUAUUUUUUGCCAAGCAGGUAAUUAAUAAUGCUUGUGCCACUCAGGCUAUCGUAAGUGUACUACUGAACUGUACCCAUCAAGAUGUACAUUUAGGAGAGACAUUAUCAGAAUUUAAAGAAUUUUCCCAAAGUUUUGAUGCAGCUAUGAAGGGAUUGGCAUUGAGUAACUCAGAUGUAAUUCGACAAGUGCACAACAGUUUUGCCAGACAGCAGAUGUUUGAAUUCGAUACAAAGACACCAGCCAAAGAGGAGGACGCCUUUCACUUUGUCAGUUACGUCCCAGUCAAUGGAAGACUGUAUGAAUUGGAUGGAUUAAGAGAAGGGCCAAUUGAUUUAGGUGCAUGCAAUCAAGAUGACUGGAUUACUGCAGUGAGGCCAGUAAUAGAGAAAAGGAUUCAAAAGUAUAGUGAAGGAGAAAUUCGAUUCAACUUAAUGGCCAUUGUAUCUGACAGAAAAAUGAUAUAUGAACAGAAGAUAGCAGAAUUACAAAGACAACUUGCAGAGGAGGAACCCAUGGAUACAGAUCAGGGUAGUACUGUGUUAAGUGCUAUUCAGUCAGAAGUUGCCAGAAACCAGAUGCUUAUUGAAGAAGAGGUACAAAAGUUAAAGAGAUAUAAGAUUGAAAAUAUCAGAAGGAAGCAUAACUACCUGCCUUUCAUUAUGGAAUUGUUAAAGACCCUAGCAGAGCACCAGCAGCUAAUUCCACUUGUGGAAAAGAUAUUCUCAUGUAGGGAGGAAUCUUUAAUAAGUUUCCCAAGUGAUUCUAAUGCAACUGAUCUGUGUACCACAUUUUGAGAAACACUUUGAGAAGACACUACUAGGCAAAUAAAAAUUUGGACCAUUAAUUUAAAGACAAGAAUACAUGGCAAAAGAAAAACAGAAUGCAAAGAAAGCUCAGGAAACUAAGUGAAGAGGAUAUUUGGACGUGUGUACACUGUGCUGCACUAAAUUUCAUGGACACCAUUAAAUAAAAGGAACUUUGAACAACAUCCUAUUUGACUCAGUGCACAUUUGCAUAGUACCAGUCUGUCUUGUCCUUUAUGCAUGGAGUUAAAACUCUUUUUCCCUACCUGCAUCAUGUGCAUGUAGUGCAUACUAAAUAAAAGUGACAUAAAAAGUG